AAAGAAACCAACCGGGAUUGCCUCAGUAACGGCGAGUGAAGCGGCAAGAGCUCAAAUUUGAAAGCUGGCCCCUCCGGGGUCCGCGUUGUAAUUUGCAGAGGAUGCUUCGGGUGCGGCCCCUGUCUAAGUGCCCUGGAACGGGCCGUCAGAGAGGGUGAGAAUCCCGUCUUGGGCAGGGUGCCCGUGCCCGUGUGAAGCUCCUUCGACGAGUCGAGUUGUUUGGGAAUGCAGCUCUAAAUGGGUGGUAAAUUUCAUCUAAAGCUAAAUACCGGCCGGAGACCGAUAGCGCACAAGUAGAGUGAUCGAAAGAUGAAAAGCACUUUGAAAAGAGAGUUAAACAGCACGUGAAAUUGUUGAAAGGGAAGCGCUUGCGACCAGACUCGGCCCCGGGGUUCAGCCAGCACUCGUGCUGGUGUACUUCCCCGGGGGCGGGCCAGCGUCGGUUUGGGCGGCCGGUCAAAGGCCCCAGGAAUGUAUCACCCUCCGGGGUUGUCUUAUAGCCUGGGGUGCAAUGCGGCCAGCCUGGACCGAGGAACGCGCUUCGGCACGGACGCUGGCGUAAUGGUCGCAAACGAC
rnacentral:rRNA from 1 species